rnacentral:lncRNA from 1 species
AUGGGCCAUGACUCAUUCGGGGGGCGAUUUGGAGAUUCGUGGCAUCUCCUUGUUAGUAUUUUACAUUUUUGCAUAGCUUAUUUAACAGACUUGUUAGGCAGGAAAGGCAAAUUCCUCUAUCAUCCCACCACUUGGGAGUUAGUAACACCAUCCCUCUUAAAGAUUUAUCAGAACUAUUUAUCUUAUUGUCAGGUAGAGAAGCAGUUCCUUCAGAAAAAGAUGGAUCAUUCAAAUUCAUCAUUUUCUGAGGGAAUUUUCUUCUCUUUCAAAAAAAUUUAUUUUUAGAAAAUAUAAAAAUCCUAAAAAAUUGAGGAAGAAAAAUAGUCAUCACUUGGUUAUUCUCCAAUACAAGUGGAAGGCUAAACAUGAUGAGAUUUUGCCAUGUAUCUUCAAGUCGUGUCAUUGCAUUUUUCAUUCUCUCAGUAUCAUUCAGUCAUUAGCAUGAUGCAUUAAACUCAGUUUGAAGAGAAUCAGAGUUCUUUUCCAGGAAAAGGUAGCACAAAAUUUGAACUCUCAACUCUUGUUGCACCUCCACUAUGAGGAUAGAGUUGGAAAUUUUGGAGGAGGGUUAUUUAUUAUCAAUAAAAAUUUUAUGUAGAUAUAUAAAGUUUUUUACUAUAAAGAUUCAUUUACCUAAAAAAAG